GAUUGUUGCUAUUGCCAUGUACCAUCUAGAGAGUUUGUCUCUAGUGGGAGGAUAAAUGUAUUUAUAGAUUUAAGCAGGUAUUGAGGAGUAGGUACUUCUAUUUUUGAUAAGACAGUCAAAAUAUUUGACUUUAUCAAAUAUAGAUGAACCAUGUGUGUGUGCAAGAAGACAAGUGACAAUCCCACUAACUUCUUGGUUAUGUAUGUGGGUGACAUAC
rnacentral:lncRNA from 1 species